UGGGGAAUAUUGCACAAUGGGCGCAAGCCUGAUGCAGCCAUGCCGCGUGUAUGAAGAAGGCCUUCGGGUUGUAAAGUACUUUCAGUCGGGAGGAAGGUGGUAAGGUUAAUAACCUUAUCAAUUGACGUUACCGACAGAAGAAGCACCGGCUAACUCCGUGCCAGCAGCCGCGGUAAUACGGAGGGUGCAAGCGUUAAUCGGAAUUACUGGGCGUAAAGCGCACGCAGGCGGUCUGUCAAGUCGGAUGUGAAAUCCCCGGGCUCAACCUGGGAACUGCAUUCGAAACUGGCAGGGUAGAGUCUUGUAGAGGGGGGUAGAAUUCCAGGUGUAGCGGUGAAAUGCGUAGAGAUCUGGAGGAAUACCGGUGGCGAAGGCGGCCCCCUGGACAAAGACUGACGCUCAGGUGCGAAAGCGUGGGGAGCAAACAGG
rnacentral:rRNA from 1 species